GCCAAAGUGGCAUAAGGGUUUAAGCACUGGACCACGACUCUGGAGACCAGGGUUCGAUUCCUAGCUUGGCCA